GAUCAUGGUUCAGGAUGAACGCUAGCUACAGGCUUAACACAUGCAAGUCGAGGGGCAGCGGGAUUGAAGCUUGCUUCAAUUGCCGGCGACCGGCGCACGGGUGAGUAACGUGUAUCCAACCUUCCGUACACUCAGGGAUAGCCUUUCGAAAGAAAGAUUAAUACCCUGAGUGGUAUUACUUAAGCAACACAUAGUUAAAUUAAGUAAUUAAAGUAUUUAGUCGGUGUACGAGUGGGGAUGGUCCGUUCCUAGUUUAAGGGUUAAGGG
rnacentral:rRNA from 1 species